AACGCACCUUGCGCUCCUUGGUAUUCCGAGGAGCAUGCCUGUUUGAGUGUCAUGUUAAUCCUCAACCCUCGGGUUGGACUCUGGACGCUGCGGGAGCCCCUUCCGCUCGUCUCAAAUGCAUUAGCGGGGUUACCGACCCAUUGCUGGCGUUUAGUAAUGCUUGCGCCGCGCGGGGUUAACCGCACCCGCUCACCAGCGGACGCCUCGAGCGCGUCGACUCCCUUGACUUCUGGCCUCAAAUCAGGUAGGAUUACCCGCCGAACUUAA
rnacentral:misc_RNA from 1 species